rnacentral:rRNA from 1 species
UGGGGAAUAUUGCACAAUGGGCGCAAGCCUGAUGCAGCAACGCCGCGUGAACGAUGAAGGUCUUCGGAUCGUAAAGUUCUGUUGCAGGGGAAGUUAAUGACGGUACCCUGUGAGGAAGCCCCGGCUAACUACGUGCCAGCAGCCGCGGUAAUACGUAGGGGGCUAGCGUUAUCCGGAUUUACUGGGCGUAAAGGGUGCGUAGGUGGUCCUUCAAGUCGGUGGUUAAAGGCUACGGCUCAACCGUAGUAAGCCGCCGAAACUGGAGGACUUGAGUGCAGGAGAGGAAAGUGGAAUUCCCAGGGUAGCGGUGAAAUGCGUAGAUAUUGGGAGGAACACCAGUAGCGAAGGCGGCUUUCUGGACUGCAACUGACACUGAGGCACGAAAGCGUGGGUAGCAAACAGG